rnacentral:rRNA from 1 species
CCAAUAGCGUAUAUUAAGGUUGUUGCAGUUAAAAAGCUCGUAGUUGAAUUUCGGGAUUGACGUGACGGUCGUGCCUUAAGGGGUAUGAACUGUCGCCGUUGAUUUCUCACCUUCUGGAGAAGCUCGAUGUCCUUAAUUGGAUGUCUUGUGGAACCAGGACCUUUACCUUGAAAAAAUUAGAGUGUUUAAAGCAGGCAUUUUGCUCGAAUACAUUAGCAUGGAAUAAUAGAAUAGGACGGCAUGGUUCUAUUUUGUUGGUUUCUAGGAUCACCGUAAUGAUUAAUAGUGAUAGUUGGGGGCAUUAGUAUUCAAUUGUCAGAGGUGAAAUUCUUGGAUUUAUUGAAGACUAACUACUGCGAAAGCAUUUGCCAAGGAUGUUUUCAUUAAUCAAGAACGAAAGUUAGGGGAUCGAAGACGAUCAGAUACCGUCGUAGUCUUAACCAUAAACUAUGCCGACUAGGAAUCAGACGAUGUUAAUUUUUUAAUGACUCGUUUGGCACCUUACG